UUUUUAACUGAGAAUCACUUAACGUACGUCUCAAAUAAUAGAGUAGAUAAAUAAAUAAUACUGAAAC
rnacentral:sRNA from 1 species